GCCCGUCUAGCUCAGUCGGUAGAGCGCAAGGCUCUUAACCUUGUGGUCCUGGGUUCAAGUCCCAGGGUGGGCG
rfam:Ipomoea nil DNA, scaffold: scaffold3056, cultivar: Tokyo-kokei standard.